rnacentral:rRNA from 1 species
CCUACGGGGGGCUGCAGUAAGGAAUAUUGGUCAAUGGACGAAAGUCUGAACCAGCCAUCCCGCGUGCAGGAUGAAAGCCCUAUGGGUUGUAAACUGCUUUUAGCAGAGAAGAAAAGCUUUCAUUAAUGAGAGUCUGGCGGUAUCUGCAGAAUAAGCACCGGCUAACUCCGUGCCAGCAGCCGCGGUAAUACGGAGGGUGCGAGCGUUAUCCGGAUUUACUGGGUUUAAAGGGGGCGAAUACGGCGGAUUAGAAAUCUUGUCGCUUAACGAUAGAAGUGCCAAUGAUACUGGUACUCUUGAAUUGGGUUGAGGUUAGCGAAAUGUGACAUGUAGCGGUGAAAUGCAUAGAUAUGUCAUGGAACACCAAUUGCGAAGGCAGCUAACUGGGCCUUGAUUGACGCUGAGGCACGAAAGCGUGGGUAGCGAACAGGAUUAGAUACCCUUGUAGUC